rnacentral:rRNA from 1 species
UAGGGAAUCUUCGGCAAUGGACGGAAGUCUGACCGAGCAACGCCGCGUGAGUGAAGAAGGUUUUCGGAUCGUAAAGCUCUGUUGUAAGAGAAGAACGAGUGUGAGAGUGGAAAGUUCACACUGUGACGGUAUCUUACCAGAAAGGGACGGCUAACUACGUGCCAGCAGCCGCGGUAAUACGUAGGUCCCGAGCGUUGUCCGGAUUUAUUGGGCGUAAAGCGAGCGCAGGCGGUUAGAUAAGUCUGAAGUUAAAGGCUGUGGCUUAACCAUAGUAGGCUUUGGAAACUGUUUAACUUGAGUGCAAGAGGGGAGAGUGGAAUUCCAUGUGUAGCGGUGAAAUGCGUAGAUAUAUGGAGGAACACCGGUGGCGAAAGCGGCUCUCUGGCUUGUAACUGACGCUGAGGCUCGAAAACGUGGGGAGCAAACAGGAUUAGAUACCCUGGUAGUCCACGCUGUAAACGAUGAGUGCUAGGUGUUAGACCCUUUCCGGGGUUUAGUGCCGUAGCUAACGCAUUAAGCACUCCGCCUGGGGAGUACGACCGCAAGGUUG